UCUAAAUGAUGUUUUAGCUCACGAUGGUCUUCCAAGUCUGCUAGGCUCUGACGACAAUGCCAGAUGGCAAAGCUGAUGAUGUGA